rnacentral:tRNA from 1 species
GGCGGUAUAGCCAAGAGGUAAGGCGAAGGUCUGCAAAACCUUGAACCUCGGUUCGAUUCCGAGUACCGCCUCCA